UAUAGGAGCGAAAUCUUUAGCCUUUGUUCCCCUGGGUUCCAUUUUGCUAUAGGUGGGUACUUGUGUGGGUUCCACUGCCAUCUACUACCCAAGCUGUGCAUCUCUGAGGAGAUGUGGGAUUUUACAACUACCACCUCUUCUGGAGUUUAUGGGAAAAACAUCCUCCAGAGGGGCCAGAGAAAAGAUGGACUGUGCAGAUUCAAUGCCACUGAAUGAGAUUCGUCAGAGCUUCCCACAUGGAAUGAGAGACAUUGGUAUUGAGAAGUGUCUGGUGAUAUGUCACUGAAAUGAACUAAAUUCAAGGUUUAAGUUGCUGCAACUCUAGUAAGAAAUCCUGCAUUAUUUAGGUGCACACAUACCUGUUUCUCCUGAACCCACUACAGUGCUGACACUUUCAGCCUCAGAUGCGAUCAAACCUUUCCUCAUGCAUUUAUUAAUAAACUGCAUUCGUU